rnacentral:rRNA from 1 species
GACGAACGCUGGCGGCGUGCUUAACACAUGCAAGUCGAACGGAAAGGCCCUGCUUUUGUGGGGUGCUCGAGUGGCGAACGGGUGAGUAACACGUGAGUAACCUGCCCUUGACUUUGGGAUAACUUCAGGAAACUGGGGCUAAUACCGGAUAGGAGCUCCUGCUGCAUGGUGGGGGUUGGAAAGGUUCGGCGGUUGGGGAUGGACUCGCGGCUUAUCAGCUUGUUGGGGGGGUAGUGGCUUACCAAGGCUUUGACGGGUAGCCGGCCUGAGAGGGUGACCGGCCACAUUGGGACUGAGAUACGGCCCAGACUCCUACGGGAGGCAGCAGUGGGGAAUAUUGCACAAUGGGCGGAAGCCUGAUGCAGCAACGCCGCGUGCGGGAUGACGGCCUUCGGGUUGUAAACCGCUUUCGCCUGUGACGAAGCGUGAGUGACGGUAAUGGGUAAAGAAGCACCGGCUAACUACGUG